UAGGAAGUAGUAUAAGGAGUACUAAGGGUUUUGAUCUCUUUAGUAGAGGUUCAAAUCCUCUCUUUCUAA
rnacentral:tRNA from 1 species